CUGAGCCUCAGUUUCCUCCUCUGAAAAUGCAGAGGACAAAAAUGGGAUAAGGAUUAAAUGAGGUUCACACUGACCUGAUGUCCCGUAUGACAGAUGGAGAAUUCGAAGCACAGACGAGUGGGCCGUUUGCUUCAGAUCUCAGAGCUGGCGAGUGACGGUGGAUGACUCUGUGCACAGCUGCAGGUGGCAGCAGAGGGGACGGCGCAAAGGGCAGGAGCGGGAGCAGAAAAGACAGGAGCCAAAGCCCAGAAACUCUGGAGCAGGAAGAGACUUUGCAAAAUGGCUGCAGCUCCUUGCAAAUGAGAUAAGGAAGCUGAGCACAGAGAGGGCGCUGAGAUCCCUGAGGUCACGCAGGGAGCAGUCUCCUGACCUUGGCCUGGAGGUUCAGACGAUGCCUGCAGACCAAGGGCUUCAUUUCUCCUGGCCCAUCAGAAUAGCCCGCUGGCCCCUGGUGAAGGCAGAGUAUGGAUUUGCAGGUCCCCUUGGGCCCUGGCUCGUCCCACCACCGCCGCUACUCUCCGGCUCCACCCAGCAGCACCUGGACCUGGACUGUUGCAGUAGCCACUCACUGGGUCUCCGCAGCCAGCCUCCACUCCUGGGCCUCCACACGGCAGCAGGAGCAGGUCGGGAACCGAAGCCCGAUCACGUCGCCACUCCGCUCACAGCCGCCCGACGGCCCUCCUUUCACGGAGAAUAGAGUCUGAAGUCCUUGCGCUGGGCUCCCCGCGGCAGUGACCCAUCUCAUCCACCCCUCUCUCCAGGGACAUGCCAAGCGCACGCCGGCCCCAGGGCCCCUGUAGCUACCAACCCCACCCUGCGGAAUGCAUUGAUGGGGCUCUCGUUCUUCACUUCGUUCUGGGUCUGCUCAGAUGUCGCUGUGAAGAGGAUUCUGCACAUGGGAUCGACUGUCGGCUCGGCUCGCCCCGCCGGGGCCCCCUCGCUCACGUCAC